GGAAGGGCAACCCGAUUGGCGACGGGACCCGGUUGGAAGCCGGUUGAGCGAUGAGCCUUGAGGGUUCGACUCCCUCCCUUUCCG
rnacentral:tRNA from 1 species